GUUUAGAUAGCUCAGCGGUAGAGUAAAACACUGAAACUGUUUGUGUCGCUGGUUCAAAUCCAGUUCUAAACA
rnacentral:tRNA from 1 species